ACGGCCACAGCUUCAUCCCUAUCUUCCUCGCGCUGUAUUCUUCCCCGCGGCAGCUCCCUCCUCCCGUUUCCUGCUCGCUCCAUGGUUUUCCCCGAGCCCCAUCGCCCAUGGCCGUCACGCCUGCUGAUUGUUCCCCCUGCUUCUCCUUUCUUCCCUUUUCCUCGACUCCUCGUCGAGCUCCCCUGAAUCGCGGCAGCAGCACCGGGGCAGCAAGGUGAGGAUUUUCCUUCUCCGAAUCUACCCGGCUCGGCACGAUGGGCUCGUUGGUGUCCUGCCUCUCCGACCCAAUCCCGUCGAGGAAUAGGUCACCGCCCUCAUAGGCCAGGCGGCGUUCCACCACCUCUUCCCGUGGCCGUGGCAGCGGCGGGAGGGACUCCGUUAUGGCCUCCGUGUUCAUGGAUAGGGAGACGCUUACCACAGCUCGCGUCGUUGUCCUGCCUGCCGAGCUCGGCCUCCAGCUGGCUCCCUCCCCAUCUCCCUGCCAUGGUCAUGCCUAGGCUCUGCUUAACCUCGAUUCCACCUGAGCCCAACGCCGCUGUUCUAGCCAUCCCUGAGUCGAGCUUCAUCUCUCAGCCACCAUCCCUGUGCUAGCGCAUCCCAGCUCCCUCUGCUCACUCUCCCGACCAUGGAGCUCGCCAAGACCUUCUCUGCCUGCUUCACUCCAGGAGCUCACCGCGCCUAGCCAUUUCUUUCUUCUCCCUCGGCUCCCUCCUUGCUUCUCUCUCGCCCUCGGAUUGGUCUACGCGCAGCCGUGGUUCUGCUGCUCGACCAUGGCGUGGACAGCGGAUGAGCCCCUGCUUUUCUUUCCCUCUUUCUCCUCCCUAGCUCCUGUUUGGUUUUCGCCUAACCGCUGCGUAGCUCCUUCGCCUUGGUCGGCUUGUCAUUGACCUCGCCGUCGCCCAGCUCGCCCAAGUCACUCAUGGCUGUGCACGGUGUUCUCGUCGACGUUGUGCUCGUCGGGAUUAGCCUCUGCGCGUCCCUGCUCCCCUACGCGCGUACGCUUUUGCCGAGCUCGGCCCUGUCCAUUUCGCCGUGCUCGGUCUCUAGCUCCCUUUGCGCGCCGUUGCGAGCUCGUCAGCCACCGUUGCCUUGUCACAGAACCUCCAACGCCGUCAUCCGUGGUCGCGACCUCGCCAAAUGCGUCCGUCGCUUGGCCCUGUGUUGUUUGGCUCGUCGACUUUGUUCGCUACCGCGUGCGCUUGUUCCUAAUGCGCAUCUUGCAGUAGUUGGAUCUCGCGCGCGUGAUUUUGAAGCUUUGCGCGUUCGUCGUGCCGUGUCGUGUGCCGAUAUUCUCUCUCGGCAGACCUCGCCGUCGACCAUGUUCAAGUGAUUGCUCGGCUCCUCACAUCCCGCCUAUUCGAUAAAACACCCAAAUCCAUAGACUGCCGAUGCCCUGCUACCAUACGUGGUUGUCUCCGUCACUUGCGUUAGCUCGCUAAACCUGCAGCUCUAUAUACGUCACCCUCCCGUAUCUUCGUUGAGUCGUCGAACCCGUCAUCCCCUGCUCAACCCCCACAUCACCAGCUCGCUCUAGACACGAUCUCGUCGUCGCUUCGUGCAUCCUCAAGAAAUACAAAGCGUCUGGUGAAGACGAAGCUAGCAGCGUGGUGUUCACCAAGUGCACGACAAAAAGCUCAAACAUCCUGCACGACUCAAGUUCGAUUCAUCAAAAUUAUUUAGUCGAGGAGAGGAUCUUCAGCAAUUGAUUACCGAAGAAAAGAAGGCCCCUGAAUGGCGUCAACCGGAAACCGUCGUCGUGCUUGUGACUAUCGCGUCGAAUUAGUAAGGGUACGUUAAUUAAUCGCGUGGUGCGGAAGACGAGUCAAGUCGACCCCAAGCAUGGGCUAAUCCGCAGGAUGAUGCUGAUGAAUGAACCAGAAGAUGGAUAAUCUGAACGAGUGCCAAUACAAAGGAUACUCGCCAAGUCGUCACCUAACAAACACUAACCUAGUGUUAUUCAG